GAUGAACGCUAGCGGCAGGCCUAAUACAUGCAAGUCGUACGGGAUUGAGGACUUCGGUUCUCAUGAGAGUGGCGCACGGGUGCGUAACACGUAUGCAACCUACUUUAACUGGGGGAUAGCCUUUCGAAAGAGAGAUUAAUACCGCAUAAGACAACAUGAUCGCAUGAGAGAGUUGUUAAAGCUUCGGUGGUUAAAGAUGGGCAUGCGUUG
rnacentral:rRNA from 1 species